rnacentral:misc_RNA from 1 species
AGCAGAAUGUGGAUUGAGAAUUACAAUGCAGAUAAUUUUUCACUUCUUAAAACAUCUUAUAGGUUUUGUAAUGUUGAUUACAAAGAUCUCUGGAAAUUUUCAAUCCAAGAUUUUAAUGUGUGCCAAGCGAUACACAGGGAAGAACUUGAGCAUCUUGAGGGAUGGAUCAAGAAAUAUGGCAUAAACAAUCUCAAGUAUACAAGGCCGACGAUUAUAUAUGCCUUUUUUGCCAUUGCAUCUACAUUUUUCCAACCUAAUUUCUCCAAUAUUCGCAUGUCAUGGGCCAAAAAUUCUGUCCUGGCAACUGCUGUUGAUGAUUUCUUUGACUUCGCUGGCUCUAUGGAAGAACUAUUAAACCUGAUUGAUUUGAUCGAAAGGUGGGAUCAGCAUUCAACCAUUGACUACAAGUCUAAAGAAGUUGAGAUACUCUUUGGUGCAAUUUAUGGCACCACUAAUGAACUUGCAGCUAAGGCUAGCAUUCAACAAGGAAGAUGCAUCAAAAGGCACCUAAUUGACAUUUGGAUAAGCUUUCUCAAGGCUAAUUUAAAAGAGGCAGAGUGGGCAAGAAACAAGAC